GGAAGCACACGCAUUCCUGACGGCAGGUUGUCAGGAUAAAAGGACAGACUGUCCCCAUGUUCCCACCAGGAGACGGUGGCCCGACUGAGGUGACGAGUGGAGAGCUGGAAACUCCAGCUAGUGCAGGAAUAAAGAUGUUCCAGCCAUGGGGCCUGGCGCUUCUUUGGAGUUUGCUUGUAAUAUCCUCGGCUCAAGCUACACCAAGAGGCCAGGCAAUUUUGAACAUUGGUCCAGAAGUCUUCAACAAAGUUUUUUCCCAGGAACUUAUAAAUCAGGAUACUAUUCAGAUCCUAAAAGAUUUGCCUCUUUACGAAGCCAUGAGGAAGAAUCAGGUCAGCAGCAUCCCCUUGGUUGGAGGCCUUGUCAGUGGUUUUCUGAAGCAGGUUUUACGGCUGAAAGUCACUGAGGCUACCAUUCCCCAACUGGCAUUUCAACUUUCUGAGGAGGGUCAUCUCUAG
rnacentral:lncRNA from 1 species